AAAAAAUAAAUAAAUAAAUAAAUAACUCAACCCAAGUUACACAGCUAGUAGCAGAGCUGUGAGUCAACUCCAAAAAAAAAAAAAAAGAAAGAAAUCUAGUAGGGACUGGGCAAGGAGGCUCACGCCUGUAAUCCCAGCACUUUUGGAAGCUGAGGGGGACGGAUCACCUGAGGUCAGGAGUUUGAGACCAGCCUGACCAAUAUGGUGAAACCCCGUCUCUACUAAAAAUACAAAAAUUAGCUGGGCGUGGUGGCGUGUGCCUGUAAUCCCAGCUACUACAAAGGCUGAGGCAGGAGAAUCGCUAGAACCUGGGAGGUGGAGGUUGCAGUGAGCCGAGAUUGCCCCACCGCACUCCAGCCUGGGUGACAGAGUGGGACUCCGUCUCAAAAAACAAACAAACAAACAAACAAAACAAAACAAAACCUCAUAGGCUUGCCAGAUAAAAUACAGGAGGCUCACGUAAAGUUGAAUUUCAGUUAACAACUAAUACUUCUUAGGUAAGUAUGUACCAAAUAUUGCAUAGAAUACACCAGUACCAAAAAAUUAUUCAUUGUUUAUCUGAAAUUCAAAUUUAACUGGGCAUUCUGUAGUUUUAUUUGCUAAAUCUGGCAACCCUUAAAAAUGAAGAUAAUGGCCAGGCACAGUGACUCAUGCCUGUAAUCCCAGCCCUUUGGGAGGCCGAGGUGGGCGGAUCACGAGGUCAGGAGCUCAAAACCAGCCUGGUCAAUAUGGUGAAACCCCACCUCUACUAAAAAUACAAAAAUUAGCCGGGAGUGAUGGCACGUGCCUGUAGUCCCAGCUACUUGGGAGGCUGAGGCAGAAGAAUCGCUUGAACCUGGGAGAUGGAGGUUGCAGUGAGCCGAGAUCAUACCACUGCACUCCAGCCUGGGCGACGGAACAAGACUCCGUCUCAAAAAAAAUAAAAAAGAAGAGAAAAAAGAAAAAAAUGCAGAUAAUGAUGUUGACCAUACUCUGCUAAUUAAAACCUUUCGAUGGUCUCUAUGGCCUCAGGAGAGGGUCCAAGCAUCUUAAUAGGCAUGUACGACCAUUCAUGUCUCUGCUACCAUCUUGCUCCUUAUUGCCUUAGUGUGAGCUUCCCAUUGACAUCAAAAAUCAAAAUCUUUCUUUUGCUUAGGUAGUUUGGCCUGGAAUAUAGAGGUUCCUAUAUGUCUAUCUUUUAAUAUUGUUUAAGAUAAUUUUAAUACCUAAUCACAUCUUCCCUUUGGAGUUUUAAAGUGAAUGUCAAAAUUAUAAGAGCAGAUUGUGAUUAAUUAAUACAUUACCUCAAGAAGAAAAAACUAGUGAGAACACACAACUUAUAUAAAAACAUUAUCUUUAAAAGACAUUGGAAAUUGUAUUUCCUGUUUACUUUGUGUUCUUGUUUAAAUGUCAAAGAGAGAAAAACCCUAGUGAAUUUAAAUUGUGUGUCUAUGUGUUUCUUUGGCUAUAUAAUUUUCAAGGCCCUAUGGAAUACAAAAAUAAGAAGCGUCUUGCUCAAAAAUUACUAAAAAUUUCAACAUGGUAACAGAACAGCAUUAACCUAGGUGUGGACCCUUCUGAGUGCAGGGCCCUGAGUGCACAGGUCACAUUUCCCAUGAAUCAUUUUAUUUUUCUCUCCAACUUAAUUGGUUCAGAAUUGAGGUUUCUCUAAGGGAAAUUCCUUUUUGUUUACACUAGAAGCAUGUGAAUGACUUAAAAUUCAUGAUGUGUUGAGAUUUUGCUAAAUGGACCUACUAAAUAAUAAGAAAAUAAAGCUUAUAAGAACGUGGACUUUGCAGUCAAUUCAAAAUCUGACUUCAUGGUUGCCUUGGAAGACUCAAGGGUUGGCUUCAAGGACACACAAAUGCCCUAAAAUUGUAAUUAAAAUUACAUGUAUUUGUAAAUGCAUUUU
rnacentral:lncRNA from 1 species